GGAAGAAGCAAGUCGAGGCACACAAGAUCAGUGCAGGUGAGAAGAAGGGACAAUGCAGGGGUCCGCACGAGGAAGGCAGAUGAAAGUCUACAAGUCCUUUCGGGACUCCUGUCUCCCCCCGCCCCACCAUUUGGUGUACUGGGUGUGAAGCUGGGGGGUGGGUGGAAGCUGGAUUCUCACGAGCUGGUUAUAUAGAGUGUCCCACAGGGUAAAAAAUGAUCCUCCGGGCAGACGUUGGGAACCACAAAUGGGUGUGGGCAAAUGUUGAGCUCCUAGGUGAAAAUCUCAUGGCAGCAUGGGCAACCCGGAUGAAAAGUGUUACCUGAUGUCAGGGUGGGGCUGGCUACCUCUGGUUUUCCAACAGACUUUUCAAAGGUAAGGGGAUGUUUUGUUGUAUAAGUAUUUAUAUCCCUCUGCGCUCGGCACCCCUUGCGUAUGCACGCUGCACAAGACAAGUUGAAAUCACAGGAUCUUAAGAAUGGCCAGGGCACCUCUUUUUAUAGAGUAACAACCCUUUCCUGGUGUGCUGGAAAACAACGUGUGUCUAUAGGAGCUGAGCUGUGACCAAAGACAUUACUUUCCUUCUUCUAUUUUUAGAAGCACUGAAACCUACCCUCUGAUUUCCAACCACACUUCGAUUCUGACACAUACAAAUACAGCCAUUUGCUGGUAGGCAUGGGUCUAGAAAGAAUAAAAUCUCCCUUCUGUGGUAUAAAAGUCCUCUGGGUGAUGCGAGGCCGGAACUGGUGGAGAGAGGCCUUCUGUCCCCGAGGAAGGUGUGGGACGCCCAGAAGCAAUGGAGUGGCCCGGGUGCGGAUAAGACACAGCUGUCCCGUCAUUGUGAUUACGAUUACGAUUGUGAGUCCAGGAGGCUCCUCACCGAAGCCCUGGUUUCACUCUUUUAAAAAUAAACUCUUUCAGUCUGCCGAUGUCCCUCGCCCGGGCAUGCUGAAACACGCGAGUUACGCGUUUGCCUUGUUAAGUGCCACGCUGAGUAGUCGCUGAGGCCCUCCCUCCUGUGCGCCCCCUGCCCCCCCCCCCCCGGCCGUCAGAGCAGGGCUCUGCCUCACGAGACGUCACCGCGGCAGGGACCAAGUGCACAGCAGCAAGUAUUGUGGUUUCGCCUAAUGCCCCAACUGUGCAAACAGAUGACUAAAAGCGCGGUUCACAAGACAGAGAGGAGGUCAGAAUCUGUCGGCGCAGACACUCCACACGGCGACUGAUACAAUGCACUUUCGUAGGGGGCUUAUUUACGGGAACAUAUCAUGAGUCUUGGCAAUUCGUAGCACGACGUUCCAUGGAAAAUUCCCUUCUCUGCUCAGACUAAACGCAAGACAUACAGCAUUCACUUUUGAUUACCGAAGGCCGUAAACACACCCCAACAGGUAUAAUACGGUAGUUUACAGCCGUGGCCUAAAUUGGGAGAUAUGCUUUCUUCUUCAUAAAACGAGAAAAGUGGGAUAGGUUGGAAGUCUUCGUGACUCUCGGCAGGACGGCUAGCUGGCCGCGGCCACCGCAGGGACUGUCUCGUUACCCACUUACCAGGAUUUGGUCUCCUCCGGCAUCAUUUAUUCAUUACCUAUACUGCGGCUUUGUAGGCUAGUCUAUAAAUACCUUUCUAAUUUGAAUUAAGAUAAUGUGCUAUCUGUGCUUGUUAGAUGUGGCAAAACGCAGCUUGUACUCACUUUAAAUCUUACCAAGUCAGAGAGCAGUUUUGCAUUCCAGAUAGAGCUAAAAAUAUUCACCCAUUAAAAUAGUAAUCAUCAUUAAAAUUAGCUCACUGAUUUUGCUGAUUAAUUUCUCGGUGACAAGUACGCUUUCUAAAAAGUUUCAAUUAAACAUUUUUUUUUUUGAACAAAACUCGACUUUUAAAAUCUAAACUAUCUAGGAAGAAAGGGAUAAUUAAGGAAAUAAAAAUAGAAAAUUUAAAUCUACUGUAAUUUGCACAGACUUUGUGAAGAUUCGCUGUCAAAAACCAGAGGAAGGCAAAGCAUGGAAACAGUUGUGGUGACUGGAAUGUGGGACCGAGGCCCCCUUCUUCACUUUGGGGGUGACGCACAUGCCUGGGAAGGUGCUUUGUUUUUGUCUGCACAGGAGUGCACUAGCGGGCAUAGUAAGAGUGCAAGUGCUCAGAGCCACUCUCGUGACAUUAGAUGUUUACGUGCACGCGCUCGAUUUUCAUUUGCAACAGGCAUGCGUCCAGUCCAGCAGAAGGCUGUAAAUCCGUGACAGCAUAAAGGGGCACUUGAAAGGCAUGGAUGAAACAAAGGCUUGUUAUUGUUUGUUUUUUUUGUCUUUAUUAUCUUUAUUUUAGUCACUAUGUUUAGUUAAUAUUCCCAUAUUAUAUGGGGUUAAAGACAUAAACAGGCUAAAAUAUUAUUUUAAUCAACCCUACAGAAAAUGGUGUUUCCAUUCAAUCCUUUAGGCAAAUCAACCCCUUACUGUCAUCUUCAGAAAAUAGGCUAAUAUAGAUGCCUCUGGUUUUAAGUAUAUCAACUAUGUUGAAACUAAAAAAUGGGGCACGGGUGGUAAGACAGAAGGCUGCUGAGAAAGGUUUAGAAUACAGGGAUCAGGAGAAAGUUAUAACGUGCACUUGUGUUAAAAAUAACGUAUCAUUCGGUACUAAUUAAGGCGAUAAAGUAUUCCUUAGCUAUGAACGUUUAACGUUUCAUAUUAUUUAUAACAGACACACAUCACAAAAUAAUAGUGAAAUCCAGUACGUCACGGAUGACUAUUGUAUAGUAACGGCCACAGAAAUAUCUUCUGACACUUCUCAAAUAAUGCAUCCCAGCAGCUCCGGAGGAAGACAGAGAUUCACGCCAAAGCGAUCUGGUGUCCAGCGGUAUGUCUGAGGUGUUUGGGAUCUCAGAAAAAUAGACCAUCUUGCUUAUCUCCUGUAAUCUGAAUCGUAAAUCCGGUCUGGCAUCAGGUGGGAUUCCAACUGAGAAAGGGGAGCAGUGGUCCCGGCUCCUGCGAUCAGUGCACACUCGCCAGGGAAUGAACGAGUAGGCCAGGAAACAUGUCCUCCGGCCGUCGGUUAGACAUGCCCAACUGCCUUUCCAUGUGCCCAGAUAUGAGCCAUCGUGGAAGAAUCAGCAAGAAUUUGCUGCCAAACUCAGAGAUUUUCUCCCCAAGCAGAACUGGUGAGCUUGGGUAACUCCUAUCAUUGUAUAACAGGGAAACUCUACACACGCGUGUUGUGGACGGAUGCUGAUCACACGGCUUUAUAGUAAACUUUCUCCCAGGGGCAGGAAGCGAGGAGGAAAACCACUCAGAGAUCAGGGCUAAGGCUGGCCCAAGAUUUAGACCUGAGAUGAUCAGACUUCUGAGUGCACCUGCGACCGACCAUGUCAGAACUAUCACAUCUUCCUCAACCCAUGUGUGCACCGCCCUCUCGGAGUCGCCUGCAGCAAGCUGGGACUGCCACGGGACCGAGGGCUCACGGACGUUGGGUGAACACAUAGAAAGUUUUAGAAAAUUCAGUUCUUUUAAUGCUUCUUUUUCAGGUGAUAAAAUAUCUAAAAAUCGCAACCACACAUUUGACUCUCUGUUAGUGAUUACUAACGAUCCCUGGUUAUAAUGAGCGUGUGAAUUUCUUUGAAAUGAAAUUCUCUGUUGCUUUUCUUUUUAACGAAUCAAUUUGUGAUGGUUCUGGGAUUAUUUCAGACACGGAGGUAUGAUGUAUUUCUUCUCCCAUGGGCGUCAGAGAAUUUUAUGGUGCCCCCCCCCCAGCCCCAGCUCUGGAAAAGGCACCUAAUGUUUCCCUGUUUCAGCUAUAUUUUGUAAAACUGUUAGCAAUGUCUAAGAUACGAGUGGGUGGAAAGGGGUGAGGAUUAUAUAAUGCUGCUAUUUUCUUUAACUUUCUUUCAUUGUAUGUUUGCUGAAUGAGUGUGAGUUUAGCACCAAUAAUUUGCACCCAGGACUGCAGAUUGGGACCUGCUUGGCCCCAGUGACCGUCACAGCGAGAGGACUCCAACAUUUGGGAAACGACAAAUGUCUCACGUGCUUGGCUGCCCUAACAGAAUACCAUAGUCUGCGACUUAAACAACACAUAUUUAUUUCUCACGGCUCUGGAGGCUGGAAGUCUAAGAUCAGAGAACUGGCGGGUUUGGCUUCUUCUGAAGCGUAUUUGGCUUGCCAAUGACCACCUUCUCCUCAAGUGGGUCCUCAAGUGGUGGGAUGGGCAAGGGGGCUCUCUGGGUCUCUGUCACAAGAGCACUGCUCCCAUCACAGGGGCUCCAUCCUCAUGACAUAAUCACAUCCCAAAGGACCCAUCUCCUAACUUCACACUGGGGGCAGGUAGAUCUCCAUGGAGGAAUUUGGGUGGAGGGGAGACACAAACAUUCAGUCCACAGCCAUGAGAAUUAGAGAGGCCAAGAACACGCAAAAGACAGAAAGUUCUGUGUGGGAAACUAUCACUCAGCAAGAACUCAUAUAAAUCCCGGGAACAAUGACCUGUCAAUGUGGAUGGCAAUGAUAAUUCUAGGUGGCAAUGAUAAUUCUAAGAAGCAAUGUGAACUUUAGUUUCCAGUUUUGCUGAAGUCAAGGGUUUUAUUCAAUUAAAAAAAAAAAAAAAAGUUCAUCUAUUGCAUUUUGUGCCCACAGAUGAAAGAGGAAAUCGGCCUUUCUUUCAGACGCUCAGAGGGCACACAUGCCCAGAACUGCACAAACUUCACCGGUGGUGACAAUAAUGGGGCCACUUUACAUUUUACACAGGGUUGGGGUUUUCAGUAUUCAUGAUAAAGUAUGAGAAAGAUAUAGGAAAUAAUAUAACAAAGUCCCAGAUUUCUCAAGUCUUUACAGUUUGAUAUGCAUGUUUCAGACGUUUUUAAGAAAUUAUAAUUUACUGGUGAGUUUGAAGUCCCUUGUCAAGCCUUUUUCCUCCCCCUUAGAGAUAACCAGCAUCCUGAAUUUGUCAUCCCCUUCCUAUUUUAUGCUCUGGUUAUGCACUGUUCUCAUAAAUACUAUAUUGAGUUGU